rnacentral:rRNA from 1 species
UAGGGAAUCUUCCGCAAUGGACGCAAGUCUGACGGAGCAACGCCGCGUGAGUGAAGAAGGAUUUCGGUUCGUAAAACUCUGUUGUUAGAGAAGAACAGCGCAUAGAGUAACUGUUAUGCGUGUGACGGUAUCUAACCAGAAAGCCACGGCUAACUACGUGCCAGCAGCCGCGGUAAUACGUAGGUGGCAAGCGUUGUCCGGAUUUAUUGGGCGUAAAGCGAGCGCAGGCGGUCAAUUAAGUCUGAUGUGAAAGCCCCCGGCUCAACCGGGGAGGGUCAUUGGAAACUGGUUGACGUGAGUGCAGAAGAGGAGAGUGGAAUUCCAUGUGUAGCGGUGAAAUGCGUAGAUAUAUGGAGGAACACCAGUGGCGAAGGCGACUCUCUGGUCUGUAACUGCCGCGGAGGCUCGAAAGCGUGGGUAGCAAACAGG